CGUAGUGUGGUUACACAGGAGCUUUAUCUUUCGAAAGUUUCUAAUUCGCAGCUUCCGAGGGGAUGUGCUCUGCCUGACAGUUGAUACCCGGGUUGUGGGAAGACCGGGGCUAAGAGCAGAAAUGCCCCCAAGAUCCUGUUUUGGACCUGGGCAGCAUCACCUGUGUCCCAUGCAAUUUUGGUAGCUGGCUUCCCGGUUUUCUGCUGCAUUUCAGGGAUUCACAGACUGGCGGGCUCACCACGCAGGCAGAAAUGACUUGUUCGGUCCUCUGGUUUCUAAUGACAUUUCCUAGCGGUGUGACCUUGACUGGUCGGUGAGCAGAGACAGCCUCGACCAACUCAUCUGUGUGAUUGAGAGAAUGCCGGGACGUGUCCUGCCAAGGAGUCUGGCUGAGAGUGUGAGCUCCGGCUCAGGACGGCCUAGGGCCCCCUCUCUGGGGUCAACAGGUGCAUGCCCCUUUGCCUCCCUUCGUCCCUCUUCCACCCUUCUCCUUUCUUCUACUGAAACACUCACGUAGGCUUGGUGUUUUCUCCUGACUCCAACCACCUGCUCCUUUGCUGGAAGAGGGCAAGGGCGCAUCCCCCGAGAGGUCCAUGGCAUGGAGUGAUACAUUCAGAAAGGGUGUGAGUGUCAAAUGUGUCAAAUGGCGUGCUUUCUCGUGGGAAAUUAGAAACGCCAUCAGAGAGAGAGAGAGAGUGUGUGUGUGUCAGUCUACGGAACCCUGAAUUGUCCCCCAUGAGCAUUUGCACCACGGGGAAGUGAGAAAUGGAGUUGACGGGAUGGGCGUGGAACACCAGCCCCAUUUCUCACAUGUUGAUUGAUUGGGAGGAGGCCUGCGGGCUGGGGAGGCCGCCCCUGUGGUGUGGGCUCACCGCCCAGGGAGUCCAGGCCUGCCUGCUGCCCGUCUACCCAGAGCCCUCCCCAGAAAACCUGAGGAAUUUACCAAACUCAACCAGAUGUUCUUGCUUCUCCGCUUUUGUUUUGAGAAAUGACUCUAGGUCAUAAUUCUUCCUGUUACUAAAACUACAUCAUAGGCGGAGAUGGCCUGGUAUGCUCUAUGCCUAUAGAUCCUUCUGUCCCCUGGGCCAACAUGAGUAUGUUUAACGGAAAAACAAAGGUGCUGCUGUGGAAUGCCCAGCAUUGAAAACACGCUUUUUCAUCCUUUCAUCUAAAGGACAAAGCUACAGUAUUAAAGACAAUUUUGAGAAUAGGCUUAAAAAAUCAGCCACGAUUCGGCCAGCUUCAAUUUCUAUGAUUAUUUGCGUGCAUUAGAUUUUAACCUUCUCCCCCAACUGCAGACAUUCUGCACGAGCAGAAGCAUAGUGUGGAGGAAACUAGGUGUGUCUGGGGCCUAGAUUUUGCAGCCGUGUUCUUUGUAAUUGUCACUUUAAUGGCUUUCGUGGGAGAGGGGAGCAUAGGCUCCUCUUGGGAAUGAAGAGAGUGACUCCUGGGCACAAUGACAGGGACGUGACAUCCUGUGCUAACCCAUGUCCCUGUUGGUGAGUAUUGCCAGUUUUGUGCAAUUCUAGGUGGUGCUGGCAAGCGGCUAAGAACAGCUUACCAGACACAGAGACCUAAGUCUAGUGUCUUCAGCACAUGAAAAGAACAAAACGAAGCCAAAGGUGGGCUGCUCAGAGCUGGUCUGUUGUCGCAUGAAGACAUCAGUGGCCUGGGCUGUUCUUGUUUUUCUGCUUUGCCAUCCUUCCCGCCUUGCUUCCAAGUUCAAGGUUCCAAGAUGCCUGGUACACUGAGGCCCCAGGGUCUGCAUUCCAGGCUGACAGUAGCAGCUCCCGCCUCCCCGCGUGUGUGGGAAAGAAUGCGCAGAUCCAGCCCCGGCUGGGUUGUGUGAAAAUCGCGCUUGCAGUCGGGUGCGGGCCGCACAAGCUCGGUGCUCCUGCUGCAGAAGAUCGUGGCCCGAGAAUGCAGAACCACCCCCUUUCCUCGUCCCGAAGUGCUGCUGGGAGGCACGGAAAGUGGAACUGGACCCUGUAAGGAAAAUCACUGUGAAAUCCCACAAACGGAUUGUUAAGUGUCCUUUAGGGAACUUUAUUUCAGCUGAUUCACUGAUUCUUAAAUGGCCCACUGUAGGCAAAUGAUUUAGCAUCUUCAAUUCUUGGUUUCCCCAUCUGAAGAAAGGGAAAAUAACGGCGUCUACCUCCUACGGUUUCUGGGAGGAUGCCAUGAGGUGAGUGCGUACGCCAUGCCUGGUGCACAGUGAAUGUUCGGUGCAUCUCAACCGUCAUUAGUACUGCCAGUUUUGUUAAUUGGACGAGUAGUUCUUCAUUUGUGAUGUAUAUCACAAUCAUCAGUGGAUGGUUCCUUUUCACAACGUAGAAGUCUAGGUCUCGAGCGGGGUAUUUUGAAAAAGUUCCCCAAGUGAUUCUGAUUCAUGUUCCCGCACAACAAUCACUGUCGAGUGUGGCCCCAAUAUCAUUAAAUUUCGUUCAUGAUGCCAGGCUAUGUGCUAAGAUGCCUCCUGAAAGCAAAGGUUGUGUGAAAUGAGCACAUUCCUAUAGGAGCUGAGAGGCAGGGGCAGUCAGGAAGGCUUCGUGGAGAUGGCCAUGACAGGUCUGGGCUCAAGGAUUUGCAGGGUUAGCUCUAAGAUUGGUAUCAGGGUGGUGAUAGAGACAAGGGACAGAGGGUGUCGGUGGUGACACUUGUGACCUUACACUUAGGUAAGGUCUGUUCUGGGGGUACUUGGGAGGUGAGGCCAGUUGGUUGGUUGGAGUCAGAGAGCAGAUGGGCUUGAAUUCCUGACCAAGAGGGCCUGUCCUCUGAUUGGAAAAGCAGGACCAACCACUGAGUGUUUCCAAGCCAGAGAGCCAAAUGCUCAGAAUCUUCCAUCGGCAGACAGAUCUGGUGCCCUAACAAAUCAAAACGUGCAGGCAAGAAGCACACAAGACCAGAGCCGACUCCUGCCCUGCACCUGCUAGGUCUGGAAGGAUACCCAUGGCCUGUCAGGGUGAAGGGACAAUUACACAACCUGGAGACUCAUGGUUUGGUGGGGGAGGGGUGGUGAGGGGAAGAAGAAGUGAAGAUGAUUUUGAGAUUGGAGCCUGGGUGAUGGGAAGAGCCGUGCAGUGACCAGAGAAAGGGAAGUUGGGGUAUGAGCUGGGUUGGGGGUGGUAACAUGACGAGUUAAUGUGCUGAGUUUGAAUGUCCAGGAAGUACAUACACAUAUUUGGGAGUUUGGCGGAAACAUGCAAGUCAAAGGAGAGACUGGAGCUACACAAAAGCAAAUAAACAAAACAACACUGUGGGGUGUUGCCUGGAGUCUCCUCAGUAGGAGAACUCCGAGGGAGGGAGAGUAGAGCAAGGACUCUUAGCCUAGGGUCCAUGGACGGGCUUCUUGCAUGGAGAGAUGCCUGUAAACCCCUCAGCAUUUUGAGCAGAACAUUAUGCCUAGGAAAGAGUCCACAAUUUCAUUGGCUUAUUUACGCUAAACAAGAUUAAGAACCACUGCUAUAUAUAGAAAGAGGGGAACUGGCAUGGUGCUCAUGGAACUUUCACAUAAUGGGUACCGGGGAAAAAAGCCCAGCCAAUCUUGGCAUCGCUGGCGUCCAUAGCUCGGACCCGUCCUGGUUGCCCUCACCGUGGCGGAGUUGUCCAUCAGAGUUGUUUCAGAAAUGUUUCUUCUUGCUAAGACAAUUCGGCAGGGGGUGGGGGGGUCAUCUUUUUAGUACAUGGUUUUGAGAAACUGAAUAUCCACCUGUAGAAGAAUGAAUUUGGACCCCUACUUCACACUGUAUACAAAGUUAACUCAAAAUCAGUUAAAGAUGGGAGCGCCCGGGGGGUCAGUCCUGUGAAGCAUACGACUCUUGAUUUCCGUUCAGGUCAUGAUCUCUGGGUCGUGAGAUCGAGCCCCGUGUCAUGCUCUGCACUCAUCACGGAGUCCGCUCAGAGUCUCCCUUUCCUUCUCCUUCCUUCCCUACCCUGACUCAUGCACUCUGUAAACAAA